GUAGUCACUGGUAGUACGGGACCAGUGACUACAGAUUUGUAGUAGAAGACUAUGGACAUGCCUUUGUUUUCAAAGGGUCGUGAAUUUGUUUAAACUUAAACUUUGUGCUUUGAAAAGGGGGCCACUGGCGUCGGGAGUGGGGGUGCCAGACGCCUUUGCACGCGGCUCGAGUAAAAGUCGACACAGGGUGCGACCCCCGGUAUCGGCCACAUGCCAGGCACCACAGAUGGGUACCAAUGUGGUAGGGUACCAAUGUGGUAGGCGUGAAGGACUCCGAAGUAAAUAAGGUUCCAGACCUUUCUUUACUGCCAAUGUCGGUUGCCGUGGGGUUUUACCAUUAAUUCGAGCAAACGUACUGGCUGCGGCACCGUUAUCAAUCUUUCAACGUAGAGCGAAGCAUCAGUCUUAAAGCGACCGACGAGGGGUGCAGAUCUACCUGCUAAACAUGCAUAUAUCCGUAUUAUAUUUUCUGCGUUCAUUUAAUUUGCUGUAUUUAUCUUCUUAGCUUAUUGAAUAAACUCAUUAAGAG